AGGCUUAACACAUGCAAGUCGAACGAUGAGUAUCCAGCUUGCUGGAUAUGAUUAGUGGCGAACGGGUGAGUAAUGCUUAGGAAUCUGCCUAGUAGUGGGGGAUAACCAUCCGAAAGGAUGGCUAAUACCGCAUACGACCUACGGGUGAAAGGGGGCGUAAGCUCUCGCUAUUAGAUGAGCCUAAGUCGGAUUAGCUGGUUGGUGGGGUAAAGGCCUACCAAGGCGACGAUCUGUAGCUGGUCUGAGAGGAUGAUCAGCCACACUGGGACUGAGACACGGCCCAGACUCCUACGGGAGGCAGCAGUGGGGAAUAUUGGACAAUGGGCGAAAGCCUGAUCCAGCCAUCCCGCGUGUGUGAAGAAGGCCUUUUGGUUGUAAAGCACUUUAAGUGGGGAGGAAAAGCUUGUGGUUAAUACCCACAAGCCCUGACGUUACCCACAGAAUAAGCACCGGCUAACUCUGUGCCAGCAGCCGCGGUAAUACAGAGGGUGCGAGCGUUAAUCGGAAUUACUGGGCGUAAAGCGCGCGUAGGUGGUUGUUUAAGUCAGAUGUGAAAUCCCUGGGCUUAACCUAGGAACUGCAUCUGAUACUGGACAACUAGAGUAGGUGAGAGGGAAGUAGAAUUCCAGGUGUAGCGGUGAAAUGCGUAGAGAUCUGGAGGAAUACCGAUGGCGAAGGCAGCUUCCUGGCAUCAUACUGACACUGAGGUGCGAAAGCGUGG
rnacentral:rRNA from 1 species